AAGGGACCCAUUCUCGUCAGUGGGAAGGAGCAAAGGCAUUCUUCCCGGGGGACCAGCAUGAGCAAAUGCCCGGAGCUGGACCGCAGUGGGCAGGAGUGGAGGAGAGGGGGAGCCAGACAGAUGAGCACCCAGGCUCAUCGCGGGGACUCCAGCACACAGAGGGACCCCUCGUGUGCCAGAUGCUAGAGCAGUUUUCGGGAGGGGACUCGGCAGCAGCAACUGCAGAAACCGGAUGCAUGGGCUUGAAUCCCGACCCCAGCUCUGCCAUUGACUCAUAAUAUCCAGAGGAGCUCUGGCAUGAGUGAAAAUAGAAGCAAAAGCUCAGAAAAAAAAAUCUGGUGAGAGAAAGAGAGAAAAGAAACUAAGCCAUCGGGGGGAGCGCUGGGAGCGGAGAGCUGACGUGCAUCAGGCAUGUGCUGGGGACCUGCCUCCUGCCUGCCCGGCCGGGGUGCUGGGCGUGGGGAGGAGGAAGGGUCCCUGUCCCAGCAGGGAGGUGGAGGCAUGGGUUCUCAUGCGGAUGGGUGGCGGGUGCAGAUGAGUCUCCCAAAGGCUGGGAAGGAGAGCUUCUAGAUGGGGACAUUUCGAGGUGAUGGGCUUUUCCUCCUGCCCUGCCUGGGGAGCCGGUAAUGGACUCGUGGUCUCAUCAGGGGCCUCUGGAAGUGCGUUCCUGGUGUUCUCAGCCGGAAGGGCAGAGGUCUUACUCCAGAGACCAGCGAAGAACCAAGAGACAACAAUCUUAGACCUGGUGGUGGCUGCACAGUGCACGGCCCACAUGCCCCCAGGCACUUGCUUGGUUCCCCAGUGGCUGGGACCUUACAGCGGGGUCCCUCUGCCUUCCCCAGCAGUGCUCACAAGGACCGGUCGCUAGGGGAGUAGACAGGGGCCGGGUUUGGGGCCCACCGCAGCUCCAGGGCUGGAACGGGCUGAGGCCUCUGGUGCCUGAUCUGCUUCCUUUGUCCUGCCACAGCUGUUGCUCCCAAGGGCACCCUGACACACACCUACAUGCAAAUCUCCAGCUCAGA